rnacentral:rRNA from 1 species
UGUGGAUUGUCCUUUGGACAAUGGUAGGAGAGCGUUCUAAGGGCGUUGAAGCAUGAUCGCAAGGACAUGUGGAGCGCUUAGAAGUGAGAAUGCCGGUGUGAGUAGCGAAAGACGGGUGAGAAUCCCGUCCACCGAUUGACUAAGGUUUCCAGAGGAAGGCUCGUCCGCUCUGGGUUAGUCGGGUCCUAAGCUGAGGCCGACAGGCGUAGGCGAUGGAUAACAGGUUGAUAUUCCUGUACCACCUAUAAUCGUUUUAAUCGAUGGGGGGACGCAGUAGGAUAGGCGAAGCGUACGAUUGGAUUGUACGUCUAAGCAGUGAGAUUGAGUGUUAGGCAAAUCCGGCACUCUUAAGAUUGAGCUGUGAUGGGGAGAGGAAAUUGUUUCCUCGAGUCGUUGAUUUCACACUGCCGAGAAAAGCCUCUAGAUAGAGAUUAGGUGCCCGUACCGCAAACCGACACAGGUAGUCAAGAUGAGAAUUCUAAGGUGAGCGAGCGAACUCUCGUUAAGGAACUCGGCAAAAUGACCCCGUAACUUCGGGAGAAGGGGUGCUCUUUAGGGUGCAAGCCCAGAAGAGCCGCAGUGAAUAGGCCCAAGCGACUGUUUAUCAAAAACACAGGUCUCUGCUAAACCGUAAGGUGAUGUAUAGGGGCUGACGCCUGCCCGGUGCUGGAAGGUUAAGAGGAGUGGUUAGCUUCUGCGAAGCUACGAAUCGAAGCCCCAGUAAACGGCGGCCGUAACUAUAACGGUCCUAAGGUAGCGAAAUUCCUUGUCGGGUAAGUUCCGACCCGCACGAAAGGCGUAACGAUUUGGGCACUGUCUCAACGAGAGACUCGGUGAAAUCAUAGUACCUGUGAAGAUGCAGGUUACCCGCGACAGGACGGAAAGACCCCGUGGAGCUUUACUGUAGCCUGAUAUUGAAAUUCGGCACAGCUUGUACAGGAUAGGUAGGAGCCUUUGAAACGUGAGCGCUAGCUUACGUGGAGGCGUUGGUGGGAUACUACCCUAGCUGUGUUGGCUUUCUAACCCGCACCACUUAUCGUGGUGGGAGACAGUGUCAGGCGGGCAGUUUGACUGGGGCGGUCGCCUCCUAAAAGGUAACGGAGGCGCUCAAAGGUUCCCUCAGAAUGGUUGGAAAUCAUUCAUAGAGUGUAAAGGCAUAAGGGAGCUUGACUGCGAGACCUACAAGUCGAGCAGGGUCGAAAGACGGACUUAGUGAUCCGGUGGUUCCGCAUGGAAGGGCCAUCGCUCAACGGAUAAAAGCUACCCCGGGGAUAACAGGCUUAUCUCCCCCAAGAGUUCACAUCGACGGGGAGGUUUGGCACCUCGAUGUCGGCUCAUCGCAUCCUGGGGCUGUAGUCGGUCCCAAGGGUUGGGCUGUUCGCCCAUUAAAGCGGUACGCGAGCUGGGUUCAGAACGUCGUGAGACAGUUCGGUCCCUAUCCGUCGUGGGCGUAGGAAAUUUGAGAGGAGCUGUCCUUAGUACGAGAGGACCGGGAUGGACAUACCUCUGGUGUACCAGUUGUCGUGCCAACGGCAUAGCUGGGUAGCUAUGUAUGGACGGGAUAAGUGCUGAAAGCAUCUAAGCAUGAAGCCCCCCUCAAGAUGAGAUUUCCCAACUUCGGUUAUAAGAUCCCUCAGAGAUGAUGAGGUUAAUAGGUUCGAGGUGGAAGCGUGGUGACACGUGGAGCUGACGAAUACUAAUCGAUCGAAGACUUAAUCAAUUU